CUGCUUCGCUCGAAGAACUCUCACGCCAUGGUGUGAUGGGGGUAUUGGAGCAACUCACAAAUUUCUUAUCAAAAAAUGAUUUUUUUUUUUUUUUGAUGUGAACGAAGGAAGCAAGCUAGUUUCUUCAAAUUUAUUAAUUAUUAUAUAAGAUACAAAAAAAAGUUCAGAUUAAGAAAAAGGAGGAGAGAGAGGAGAAGAGAUAUUGAAUAAAUGGGCCCU
rnacentral:lncRNA from 1 species